rnacentral:rRNA from 1 species
UACGUAGGGUGCAAGCGUUGUCCGGAAUUAUUGGGCGUAAAGAGCUCGUAGGCGGUUUGUCGCGUCGGCUGUGAAAGCCCGGAGCUCAACUCCGGGUCUGCAGUCGAUACGGGCAGACUUGAGUGUUGCAGGGGAGACUGGAAUUCCUGGUGUAGCGGUGAAAUGCGCAGAUAUCAGGAGGAACACCGGUGGCGAAGGCGGCUUACUGGUCCAUUACUGACGCUGAGGUGCGAAAGCGUGGGGAGCGAACAGG